rnacentral:lncRNA from 1 species
ACAGAGUUGGAGUUGAAUUCGAGGGGUAAAGCUAUACUAGAAGCUUGAGUUGAGUUUGGAGCAUUCGAGGUAAGUGUUUGAUCUAACUUUGGCUUGAGUGAAUAUGAUUAGAGUAUUGCUUGCUAGUUGCAUUUUGUUGAGUACGGUGUAUAGGCAUGGCGACGAGUAUCUAUACACUGGUGUCUAGCAUCGUCGUGAGUCCUAUUUGUCCUUAUAUGGAUUUUGAUGUGAUUCUUCCUUGUUUAAUCAAUGAUUUCCAUGGUCAAUGAUUUCCCUUGUUGGAAUUUUCUAUUACCAUUUUCUAUCCAUUAGCCCCCUUGUUGUGAUUGUUGUUUGGGUAAGGAUGAGUGAUAAAGCAUGAUAGGUGAUGUCGUGCACGAUUGUGAUAAUUACUAAUGCACGAAGGAAAAUUCCGUGCCAUGAUAUGUUUACUAAUACACGAAGGAACAUUCGGUGCCAUGAUAUGUUUACUAAUAUACGAAGGAACAUUUUGUGCCAUGAUAUGUUUACUAAUGCACCAAGGAACAUUUCGUGCCAUGAUAUGUUACUAAAGCACGAAGUAACAUUCUGUGCCAUUUUUUUUUUUU